rnacentral:rRNA from 1 species
UAGGAUGAAAGGUAGAAAUUUUAAAGGAAAGUUUUAUUUAAUAAUUUUGAAUUUAGAUUAAGAGUAAAAAUUCUUUUAUUAUUCUUUGGGACGAGAAGACCCUAGAAGCUUUAAAUUUUGAAAAUUUUUAGUUGGGGUAAUAAUUGAAGAAAUAAAUUUUUAAUUUAGUAAAGUAAAGAAAAGGAAGUUACUCUAGGGAUAACAGCGUUAUAUAGUUAGCAAGUUCUUAUUAAUAACUAUGUUUGCGACCUCGAUGUUGAAUUAAUUUAGUAUCUUUGGUGAAGGAGUUAAAAGUAGUUUUAGUCUGUUCGACUAUUAAAAAUUACAUGAUUUGAGUUCAAACCGGUUUAAUCCAGGUCG